AUUGAACGCUGGCGGCAGGCCUAACACAUGCCAGUCGAGCGGAUGAAGGGAGCUUGCUCCUGGAUUCAGCGGCGGACGGGUGAGUAAUGCCUAGGAAUCUGCCUGGUAGUGGGGGAUAACGUCCGGAAACGGGCGCUAAUACCGCAUACGUCCUGAGGGAGAAAGUGGGGGAUCUUCGGACCUCACGCUAUCAGAUGAGCCUAGGUCGGAUUAGCUAGUUGGUGGGGUAAAGGCCUACCAAGGCGAAGAUCCGUAACUGGUCUGAGAGGAUGAUCAGUCACACUGGAACUGAGACACGGUCCAGACUCCUACGGGAGGCAGCAGUGGGGAAUAUUGGACAAUGGGCGAAAGCCUGAUCCAGCCAUGCCGCGUGUGUGAAGAAGGUCUUCGGAUUGUAAAGCACUUUAAGUUGGGAGGAAGGGCAGUAAGUUAAUACCUUGCUGUUUUGACGUUACCAACAGAAUAAGCACCGGCUAACUUCGUG
rnacentral:rRNA from 1 species